rnacentral:rRNA from 1 species
CGCGUAGGUGGUUUGUUAAGUUGGAUGUGAAAGCCCCGGGCUCAACCUGGGAACUGCAUUCAAAACUGACAAGCUAGAGUAUGGUAGAGGGUGGUGGAAUUUCCUGUGUAGCGGUGAAAUGCGUAGAUAUAGGAAGGAACACCAGUGGCGAAGGCGACCACCUGGACUGAUACUGACACUGAGGUGCGAAAGCGUGGGGAGCAAACA